AACGAACGCUGGCGGCAUGCCUAACACAUGCAAGUCGAACGACACCUUCGGGUCUAGUGGCGCACGGGUGCGUAACGCGUGGGAACCUGCCCUUAGGUUCGGAAUAACUCCCCGACAGGGCUGCUAAACCCGGAUAAUGUCUUCGGACCAAAGAUUUAUCGCCUUUGGAUGGGCCCGCGUUGGAUUAGCUAGUUGGUAGGGUAAAAGCCUACCAAGGCGACGUUCCUUAGCUGGUCUGAGAGGAGGAUCAGCCACACUGGGACUGAGACACGGCCCAGACUCCUACGGGAGGCAGCAGUGGGGAAUAUUGGACAAUGGGCGAAAGCCUGAUCCAGCAAUGCCGCGUGAGUGAUGAAGGCCUUAGGGUUGUAAAGCUCUUUUACCCGGGAUGAUAAUGACAGUACCGGGAGAAUAAGCUCCGGCUAACUCCGUG
rnacentral:rRNA from 1 species